rnacentral:rRNA from 1 species
ACGGAGGGUCCAAGCGUUAUCCGGAAUCAUUGGGUUUAAAGGGUUCGCAGGCGGUUUAAUAAGUCAGUGGUGAAAUCUCGGGGCUCAACCUCGAAACUGCCAUUGAUACUGUUAGACUUGAAUACAGUUGGAGUAGGCGGAAUGUGUAGUGUAGCGGUGAAAUGCUUAGAUAUUACACAGAACACCGAUAGCGAAGGCAGCUUACUAAACUGUGAUUGACGCUCAUGAACGAAAGCGUGGGGAGCGAACAGG